AUGCCUUUUGGCCUGUGCAACGCCCCUGCAACUUUUCAGUGCCUCAUGAACACGGUCUUCGGGCGCUACAUUCAUAAGUUUAUCAUCAUAUUCCUCGAUGAUAUUCUCGUCUUCAGCACUGACUUGCAGGAACAUGAGGAGCACCUGCGGCUCACGUUGCAAUUGCUUUGCGAACACCAGCUUUUCGCCAAGGAAUCCAAAUGCUCGUUUGCGCAAACUAGCAUCGAGUACUUGGGGCACGUGAUCUCCAAGAACGGGGUCGCAACCGACGCAACCAAGACCUGCGCCAUACAGGCCUGGACCGUGCCCACAACGGCCACAGAGCUCCGUGGCUUCAUCGGCCUGAUGGGAUACUACCGCAAAUUCGUCCCCCACUAUGGCAUCAUCGCGAAGCCGCUGACCCAGCUCCUGACGAAGAAAGGGUUCGCCUGGAACGACAAGGCACAGCAAGCGUUCGAGCUACUGAAGCAGGCCAUGGUGAGCACGCCCGUGCUGGCACACCCCGACUUCGCCAAGCCGUUC
rnacentral:rRNA from 1 species